AGUCAUGGACUCAUAGCAGGUGAUAUGAUCUUAAUAAGGAAUGAAGUGAAAUUCUUCAACUAUCUCAGUAACCGUGAAGCGGACAAUGUCUUAGUGAGCCACUGCAUCAAUUGAUGUGGGAAGGGAAGACGGCGGAUGAUGCAAAGUCGGGAGACUUGCCUGAUAUGCGAGUGCUAU
rnacentral:ncRNA from 2 species